AGAAUUUGUGGGAAUUCAGAAUUUCUGAGCAAAACCAUUCAAAAUUAUUUCCUCCCUUUGUCACUUUUAAGAGCUGGUCUCAGCAUAAGGAAAUAGACUCCAGUGACAACUCAGUGGUCUUUGGGAAGGAAUGCUCUGGACGAUGAAAGUAGCUGCCAGGGGACUUUUCAAGUUAAAGGCAACAGAGCAGGAGAUGAUAAGCUUUCAGGGAAGGUCACUGUUGAUUUUACUCUUGAUGCCUUCUAUGCAAUGGCUGGCUUGA
rnacentral:lncRNA from 1 species